rnacentral:rRNA from 1 species
CACGUAGGGACCAAGCGUUGUCCGGAUUCAUUGGGCGUAAAGAGCUCGUAGGCGGCUCAGUAAGUCGGGUGUGAAACCUCCAGGCUCAACCUGGAGACGCCACCCGAUACUGCUGUGGCUAGAGUCCAGUAGGGGAGCGUGGAAUUCCUGGUGUAGCGGUGAAAUGCGCAGAUAUCAGGAAGAACACCCGUGGCGAAGGCGGUUCUCUGGGACGGUACUGACGCUGAGACGCGAAAGCGUGGGGAGCGAACAGG